rnacentral:tRNA from 1 species
CCUUCGAUAGCUCAGUUGGUAGAGCGGAGGACUGUAGAUCCUUAAUUCGCUGGUUCGAAUCCGGCUCGAAGGA